GUGAUUUGGCCGAGAGGCCUAUGUCCAAUCCCUCACACCUGUGAACCCGUCGGUGGGCCUUUGGCCCGCCGGACAUACAAGACAAUGUGUAAUGAACGUCGUGUACCUUAAAGCAAAACA
rnacentral:misc_RNA from 1 species